UGAGGAAUAUUGGUCAAUGGACGGAAGUCUGAACCAGCCAAGUAGCGUGCAGGAUGACGGCCCUAUGGGUUGUAAACUGCUUUUGUAUGGGGAUAAAGUUAGGGACGUGUCCCUAUUUGCAGGUACCAUACGAAUAAGGACCGGCUAAUUCCGUGCCAGCAGCCGCGGUAAUACGGAAGGUCCAGGCGUUAUCCGGAUUUAUUGGGUUUAAAGGGAGCGUAGGCUGGAGAUUAAGUGUGUUGUGAAAUGUAGACGCUCAACGUCUGAAUUGCAGCGCAUACUGGUUUCCUUGAGUACGCACAACGUUGGCGGAAUUCGUCGUGUAGCGGUGAAAUGCUUAGAUAUGACGAAGAACUCCGAUUGCGAAGGCAGCUGACGGGAGCGCAACUGACGCUUAAGCUCGAAGGUGCGGGUAUCAAACAGGAUUAGAUACCCUGGUAGUCCGCACAGUAAACGAUGGAUGCCCGCUGUUGGUACCUGGUAUCAGCGGCUAAGCGAAAGCAUUAAGCAUCCCACCUGGGGGAGUACGCCGGCAACGGU
rnacentral:rRNA from 1 species